rnacentral:tRNA from 1 species
GCCCCUGUAGUUCAAAGGACAGAACUGCGGACUCCUAAGCCGCGGAUCCAGGUUCGAUUCCUGGCAGGGGCG